GCCCGGGUGCUGAAACCGGAAUACAGGAGGGACUCAAAAUCCCUUGUCCGCAAGGACGUGUGGGUUCGACCCCCACCCCGGGCA
rnacentral:tRNA from 1 species